rnacentral:rRNA from 1 species
UUAUUUGAAACAGGACACAACCUCUCAUACUGGGUAAGCAAAGGAUAACAUAAACCAAGUGGGCCUAAAAGCAGCCAUCUUUAAGAAAGCGUUAUAGCUCUACCAUACUUAAUCCACAAUCAUUAUUACUCUCCCCAACCCUUUACCCCUACUGAACCAUUUUAUACCACUAUAAAAGUUAUUAUGCUAGGACUAGUAACAAGAAUUCGAUUUUCUCCUCAAUAUGAGUAUAAACCAAAAUGGACAAUCCAUUGGAAAUUAACGUUAAUGACCAUAUUAUAGUAACCCCUUAACCAGAAAACCCUAUAAUUAUAAACGUUAACCUAACACUAGAAUAUUCAAGGAAAGAUUAAAAGAAAAAGAAGGAACUCGGCAAAUUUUAACCCCGCCUGUUUACCAAAAACAUCGCCUCUUGAUAAACAAACAUAAGAGGUCCAGCCUGCCCAGUGACAAUGUUCAACGGCCGCGGUAUCCUAACCGUGCAAAGGUAGCAUAAUCACUUGUCCUAUAAAUGAGGACUCGUAUCAACGGCAUCACGAGGGCUAUACUGUCUCCUUUUUCUAAUCAGUGAAACUGAUCUCCCCGUGAAGAAGCUGGGAUUUUAAU